rnacentral:pre_miRNA from 1 species
AGCCUUCUGUAUCCGUACUGAGAUAUCGUCACACAUCAGACCACAAGGGCUGAUGAGACUUGCCAGAUAAGUGAAGUG